rnacentral:tRNA from 1 species
GAGAGAUGGCUGAGUGGUUGAUAGCCCC